rnacentral:rRNA from 1 species
AUGGUGAAAGAGAAGACGGCGGCUUUGGAGCGGGCAAAGAAGGCGAAGGCGGCGGCGAAAGUGAAGGGGAGAGCGACCAGUCGAGGGGGAUCCUCGUCGCGGUCCCGUUUGCCGCAAGGUUGGAUCCAGGGUGAUUGGAUCCGCUCGACCAUCACCCAAAAGGAUCUCGACGACCUGGCUGACGAAGGCCUGAUUGCGCACGGGGCGGCGAGGCUCCCGGGGAUGGAGUGGCAGCCACAGCCUCAGGAGGGUGAGUGUGUCCUCUUGGCAACUCAUGUAGAUCGAGGGUUCUCUCUGCCACCGCAUCUUUUCUUUCGAGGGUUUCUGAAUUUCUUUGGAGCUCAGCUUCACCACUUUACCCCCAAUUCCAUUGCCUAUCUCUCCGCCUUUGUAUCUUUGUGUGAGAACUUCUUGGGUUGUCGGCCGCACUGGGGCCUCUUCAAACACAUAUUCACUUGUCGUUCUCAGACGGUGAAAAAGGCCAGCCCCAAUGAUGAGAGAACUCAGGUAAUCCAGAUGUGUGGGGGUCUCGGGGUCCAGAUGAGGAGUAAGAGCGCUUUCCCAGCUAUGACCCUUCCCGAGCCAGUCAGAGGGUGGCAGUCGACCUGGUUCUACUGCCAAGACCAGUCGACUGGGCUCCCUCCCUUCUCUAUGAGUCGAGUGAACAAGCCAUCCUCUCUGAAAGUAGUUCCGGAGGAGAAGGCUCAGGUAAAAAUGUUGAUGGAGCGUGUAGUCCAGUUGAUUUGUGACGGUGUGACUGGCAUGGACCUUCUGGAGGUUUUCCUUCGGCGGCGCAUCCAACUGCUCCAGUACCGGGGCCACCCGAUGUGGUUGUAUUCUGGUACUGAAGACACCAGUCGGGUCCACCCAGAGGAGGUCGAUGAUGCCACACUGGAGAGGUGGAUGACUGCCAUCACGGGGAACAAGGACAACCCUCGUGGAGCCAGGAGGAUCCCGCCACUCGACCAAUCCUAUGAUGCGGACAAGGAAACCACCGAGUUGUACUCGAUGCCCAAUGAGGCGCAAGCACAGGCCGAAGAGGAGGAAGGAAGCGGAGGCGAAAGCCAAGAGGAGUGGGAGUCAGACGCCGAUGAGGGUGAUGAAGAUGCAGGCUCUGAAGAGGAGGAAGAGGAGGAGGAAAAGGAGGAGGAAGUUGCGCCUCCUUGUUCCUAA